rnacentral:lncRNA from 1 species
AUGCCCAUGGAGAAGGCUUUCAUCAAUCCAGAAAGGAUGUCCUAUCAGCAGCAGCAACAAUGCAAAGUGCCCUGCCAGCCACCUCCCCAGGUCCCUGUGCCCUGGCCUCCACAAGUCUCUGUGCCCUGCCCUCCCAGGGUGCCUGAGCCUUGCCCUCCCAAGGGACCUGAGCCCUGCCCUCCACCCCCAAGCCAGCAGAAAUGCCCCCCUGUGCAGCAUCCCUCUUGCCAGCAGGAAUGCAUGUCAAAGCAGAAGUGACACCUCUUAAACCACCACACCUUAACUUUGGGCACGGAGCUGCUGUAUCCUUUCUCUGCCCACCUCAGACUCCUUCGUUCCAGCAACUAUAGGAAACACCACACAGCCCCAGGAGAAUCUACCUCUCAACUGACUCAAAGGAGAAUGACAGCUGCGUUCACAGGUUUUCGAGUGAUUGUUCAACUGAUUCCUCUCAGCGUCAACAUCCAGAAACCAGCAGGGAUUGGACCGGAGUUACAAAGGCCUUCCCUGGAACCAUAUGUUUAUAUCUGCUGUGGCCAGGGCAGGCCAGUUCCUUUAGCUGCUGCCUCUGUGCCUCUGCUGCCUCUGUUGGCCUGAGAUCAUCAGAAUGAUGGAAGUGUCCUCCUUUGCCACUGCCUCCUGCCUUUUUCCAAAGUUUUUGAGGUUUUGAGAAGCUGAUAUCUUUUAAGUAACUGAUUUAAGUAAAUGGAAAAUUACCCCUAGUUCCCUCUCUUCCUACACUCUUCAGUUAUGGCGAUGAGGUCUUCUGUUUCCUAUCACCUCCCUGCUUACUUCUUCAUCUCCAAAGACAGCUGACUCUUGCUCUGUCCCUGAGCCUGGACAUUCCCAACCCUGUGAUGCUGUGACUUCCUUCUUCCCACUUCCUUCAAUAAAUUCAGUUGUUUCUGGCUGGGUCUGACUCUG